UGAGGCAGGAGAAUUGCUUGAACCCAGGAGGCGGAGGCUGCAGUGAGCCGAGAUCAUGCCACUGUACUCCAGCCUGGGUGACACAGCAAGACUCUGUCUC
rnacentral:miRNA from 1 species